rnacentral:misc_RNA from 1 species
UUUCCGUAGGUGAACCUGCGGAAGGAUCAUUAUCGAGUUUUGACUGGGUUGUAGCUGGCCUUCCGAGGCGUGUGCACGCCCUGUUCAUCCACUCUACACCUGUGCACUUACUGUGGGUAUCAGUUCGUGAAGCGUGCUUUUUUACCGGAGCUGGUGAAGCGUGUCUGUGCCUGCGUUUAUCACAAACACUAUAAAGUAUCAGAAUGUGUAUUAUUGUGUAACGCAUCUAUAUACAACUUUCAGCAACGGAUCUCUUGGCUCUC